UACGUUAAAUUAAUUUUAUUACUUACACUGGAUUUAUGUAAACAAAUGACUAAAACCAAAUCAAGUUAAUGGAACUAACAAUCACAAAAAAGCUUGACAGUCAGGGAGAUUUACAUUUCAAAAGCAAUUAAGCGUUAUUGAUUUGUUAGAACACAGCAUUAGCCAUGGUAAAUUAAUUGCAGGACAUUUGCUUUUAAGACUGCAAAAUGUAUUCUAACACCAUGGAGAAAUUGGCUUAAAUAAAAUGUCUACCUCCGCCAAAAUGGGGGGGGGGGGCUCAAAUUCAGCCACACCCACCACCCUUUUUGAUCCAGAAAAACCCUGCAUAUUAGGGGUUAAAUGUCUUGCUCAAGGGCACCUCAGAUAUAUUUGAUUAAAAUGCCCCAAAUUAAAAGAAAUCCACUCCUACAUGUAACACCAAAUAAAUAUACAGUACCAGUCAGAAGUUGAUACCUACUGCUUCCAGGGUUUUUAUUUUUUUCUACAUUGUAAAAUACGUGUAGACAUCUAUGGAAUCAUGUAGUAACCAAAAAAGUGUUAAAUAUAUUUGAGAUUCUUCAAAGUAGCCACACUUUGCCUUGAUGACAGCUUGGCAUUCUCUCAACCAGCUUCACCUGGAAUGCUGUUCCUACAUAUGCUGAGUGCUUGUUUGCUGCUUUUCCUUCACUCUACAGUUCAACUCAUCUCAAUUGGGUUGAGGUUGGGUGAUUGUGAAGGCUAGGUCAUCUGAUGCAUCACUCUCCUUCUUAGUCAAAUAGCCCUUACACAACCUGGAGGUGUGUUGGGUCAUGGUCCUGUUGAAAAACAAAUGAUAGUCCCACUAAGACCAAACACGAUGGGAUGGCGUAUCGCUACAGAAUGCCAUGGUAGCCAUGCUGGUUAAGUGUGCCUUGAAUUCUAAAUAAAUCAGACAGUGUCACCAGCAAAGCACCAUCACCUCCACACUUCACAGUGGGAACCACACAUGCAGAGAUCAUCCGUUCACCUACUCUGCAUCUCAAAGGCACGGCGGUUGGAACCAAAAAUCAAAAAUUUGGACUCAUCAAAGUACAGAUUUCCACUGGUGUAAUGUCCUUUGCUUGUGUUUCUUGCCCAAGCAAGUCUUCUUAUUGGUGUGGUUUCUUUGCAGAAAUUUGACCCAUGAAGGCCUGAUUCACGCAGUCUGUUACUUGAAUUCUGAAGCAUUUAUUUGGGCUGCAAUUUCUGAGGAUGUUAACUCUAAUAAAUGUAUUCUCUGCAGCAGAGGUAACUCUGGUUCUUCCUUUCCUGUGGUGGUCCUCAUGAGAGCCAGUUUCAUCAUAGCGCUUGGUUUUUGCAACUGCACUUGGAAGAAAUUUUCUGUAUUGACUGACCGUAUUUUUCUCUUUGCACCAAAUAGGGCUGUCUUCUGUAUACCACCCCUACAUCGGUUCAAACGCAUUAAGAAGGAAAGAAAUUCCAGAAAUUAACUUUUAAGGCACACCUGUUAAUUUAAAUGUAUUCCAGGUGACUACCUCAUGAAGCUGGUUGAGAGAAUGCAAAGCUGUCAAGAAUCUCAUAUAUUUUGAUUUAUUUAACACUUGAUUUCUACAUGAUUCCAUAGUUUGUCUUAACUAUUAUUCUACAAUGUAGAAAAGUCAAAGUGAAAAAAAAAUGGCUUCCACCAUUUCAAAGUAGUCAGUGAAUUGUUGCCUAUGGUUUGUAAAAUACAUUUUUAUAAAUUUGGUAGCCAACAAAUGAAUAAAGAUUUGGUUCAGCACUGCAGGUGGCGCUAAAUCACCAAUAUUAGCAAUACUCAUUUCAAACAAGAAAAUUGACAACUUUCAAAUUGAGAUGGCGCUACCCAUGCUGUCACAGAAUCCAUUGAGGCACAGAGGAAUCCUUUCUACCUCUAUGAAGCCAACACACAGGUUGGCGUGUUCUCAGGAGAUGACAUCAAGGAUGCACCUGGAGACCCCAUGGCAGCCCCACAGGAUAGGCUGAGUCUUGCAGGAGAGUGAUGACCUCACCACCCCCUAAUUUCUACCGGUAGAUGAGGGUUGUGUAAAUGUGACUUUAAAAAUAAUCUCUUCCUUUACUGACACCAUCCACAUCAGCUCUACAUUUAAAGGGAUUUUGACAAUGAAAACCUAUCUACUCACCCAGUCUGAUUAACGCAAGGAUACUUUUGUGAGCCAAUAUUAACUGGUGUUAGUGCAAUGACUGGGUGCAUGAUACCAUGGACUUCCAGUCAUUGUGCUAACACUAGUUAGCAUUGGCUCACGAAAGUAUCCUAGCGUAUACCUUUAAUCCAACUUAAAAGCUGCAAAGCCAAAGCUCUGCCAUCUCUGACCGUUCCUCUAGUCGUAGAAUAAAAUCCAUCCGUCUCUGCAAGUAGAAUAAAAUGCACCCUUCCAUCUCUCCUCUAGUAGAAUAAAAUGCAUACCCCCAUCUCGCCUCUGGUAGUAGAAUAAAAAUACAUCCCUCCAUCUCUCCUCCAGUAGAAUAAAAUGCAUCCCUCCAUCUCUCCUAGUUUAAUAAAAUACAUCCCUCCAUCUCUAGUAGAGUAAAAUGCAUCCCUCCAUCUCCUCUAGUUUAAGAAAAUACAUCUCUCCUCUAGUUUAAUAAAAUACAUCCCUGCAUCCCUCCAUCUCCUCUAGUUUAAGAAAAUACAUCUCUCUAGUUUAAGAAAAUACAUCUCUCCUCUAGUUUAAUAAAAUACAUCCCUCCAUCUCUCUAGUAGAAUAAAAUACAUCUCUCUAGUUUAAUAAAAUGCAUCCCUCCAUCUCUCCUCUAGUUUAAUAAAAUGCAUCCCUCCAUCUCUCCUAGUUUAAUAAAAUACAUCCCUCCACCUCUCCUCUAGUAUAAUAAAAUACAUCUCUCUAGUAGAGUAAAAUACAUCCCUCCAUCUCUCCUAAUUUAAUAAAAUACAUCUCUCCUCUAGUUUAAUAAAAUACAUCACUCCAUCUCUCCUCUAGUUUAAUAAAAUACAUCCCUCCACCUCUCCUAGUAUAAUAAAAUACAUCUCUCUGGUAGAGUAAAAUACAUCUCUCCAUCUCUCCUCUAGUUUAAUAAUAUACAUCUCUCCUCUAGUUUAAUAAAAUUACAUCCCUCCAGUAGAAUAAUACUUCCCUCCAUCUCUCUAGUAGAAUAAAAUGCAUCCCACCUCCUAGUUUAAUAAAAUACAUCUCUCCUCUAGUUUAAUAAAAUACAUCCCUCCAUCUGUCCUCUAGUUUAAUAAAAUACAUCUCUCCUCUAGUGUAAUAAAAUACAUCCCUCCAUCUCUCCUCCAGUAGAAUAAAAUAUAUCCCUCCAUCUCUCCUCUAGUUUAAUAAAAUACUUCCCUCCAUCUCUCUAGAAUAAAAUGCAUCCCUCCUAGUUUAAAAUACAUCCCUCCAUCUCUCCUAGUUUAUUAAAAUACAUCCCUCUAUCUCUCCUCUAGCAGAAUAAAAUAAAUCCCUCCAUCUCUCCUCUAGCAGAAUAAAAUAAAUCCCUCCAUCUCUCCCUUAGUUUAAUAAAAUACAUCCCUCAUCUCUCCUCUAGUAGAAUAAAAUACAUCCCUCCAUCUCUCCCUUAGUUUAAUAAAAUACAUCCCUCAUCUCUCCUCUAGUAGAAUAAAAUACAUCCUUCCAUCUCUCCCUUAGUUUAAUAAAAUACAUCCCUCAUCUCUCCUCUAGUAGAAUAAAAUACAUCCCUCCUCUAGUUUAAUAAUAUACAUCUCUCCUCUAGUUUAAUAAAAUACAUCUCUCCCCUAGUUUAAAAAAAAUACAUCUCUCCUCUAGUUUAAUAAUAUACAUCUCUCCUCUAGUUUAAUAAUAUACAUCUCUCCCCUAGUUUAAAAAAAAUACAUCUCUCCUCUAGUUUAAUAAUAUACAUCUCUCCUCUAGUUUCAUAAAAUACAUCCCUCCAUCUCUCCUCCAGUAGAAUAAAAUACAUCCCUCCUCUAGUUUAAUAAUAUACAUCUCUCCCCUAGUUUAAAAAAAAUACAUCUCUCCUCUAGUUUAAUAAUAUACAUCUCUCCUCUAGUUUAAUAAAAUACAUCCCUCCAUCUCUCCUCCAGUAGAUUAAAAUACAUCCCUCCAUCUCUCCUCUAGUUUAAUAAAAUACGUCCCUCCAUCUCUCCUAGUUUAAUAAAAUGCAUCCCUCCUCCUAGUUUAAUAAAAUACAUCUCUCCUCUAGUUUAAUAAAAUACAUCCCUCCAUCUGUCCUCUAGUUUAAUAAAAUGCACCCCUCCAUAUCUCCUAGUUUAAUAAAAUACAUCUCUCCUCUAGUAGAAUAAAAUGCAUCCCUCCAUCUCUCCUCUAGUAGAAUAAAAUACAUCCCUCCACCUCUCCUCUAGUAGAAUAAAAUACAUCCCUCCAUCUCUCCUCUAGUUUAAUAAAAUACUUCCCUCCAUCUCUCUAGAAUAAAAUGCAUCCCUCCUAGUUUAAUAAAAUACAUCCCUCUAUCUCUCCUAGUUUAAUAAAAUACAUCCCUCUAUCUCUCCUAGUUUAAUAAAAUACAUCCCUCCAUCUCUCCUCCAGUAGAAUAAAAUACAUCCCUCCAUCUCUCCUCUAGUUUAAUAAAAUACAUCCCUCCAUCUCUCCCUUAGUUUAAUAAAAUACAUCCCUCCAUCUCUCCUCUAGUAGAAUAAAAUACAUCCCUCCAUCUCUCCCCUAGUUUAAAAAAAAUACAUCUCUCCUCUAGUUUAAUAAUAUACAUCUCUCCUCUGGUUUAAUAAAAUUACAUCUCUAGUUUAAUAAAAUACAUCCCUCCAUCUCUCCUCUAGUUUAAUAAAAUACGUCCCUCCAUCUCUCCUCUAGUUUAAUAAAAUGCAUCCCUCCUAGUUUAAUAAAAUACAUCCCUCCAUCUCUCCCCUAGUUUAAUAAAAUACAUCCCUCCAUCUGUCCUCUAGUUUAAUAAAAUACAUCUCUCCUCUAGUAGAAUAAAAUACAUCCCUCCAUCUCUCCUCUAGUAGAAUAAAAUACAUCUCUCCAUCUCUCCUCUAGUUUAAUAAAAUACAUCCCUCCAUCUCUCCUCUAGUUUAAUAAAAUACAUCUCUCCAUCUCUCCUCUAGUUUAAUAAAAUACAUCCCUCCAUCUCUCCUCUAGUUUAAUAAAAUACAUCUCUCCAUCUCUCCUCUAGUUUAAUAAAAUACAUCUCUCCAUCUCUCCUCUAGUUUAAUAAAAUACAUCCCUCCAUCUCUCCUCUAGUAGAAUAAAAUACAUCUCUCCAUCUCUCCUCUAGUUUAAUAAAAUACAUCUCUCCAUCUCUCCUCUAGUUUAAUAAAAUACAUCCCUCCAUCUCUCCUCUAGUAGAAUAAAAUACAUCUCUCCAUCUCUCCUCUAGUUUAAUAAAAUACAUCCCUCCACCUCUCUAGUUUAAUAAAAUACAUCCCUCCACCUCUAGUUUAAUAAAAUACAUCCCUCCACCUCUCCUCUAGUAGAAUAAAAUGCAUCCCUCCAUCUCUCCUCUAGUAGAAUAAAAUACAUCCCUCCACCUCUCUAGUUUAAUAAAAUACAUCUCUCCUCUAGUUUAAUAAAAUACAUCCCUCCAUCUCUCCUCCAGUAGAAUAAAAUACAUCCCUCCAUCUCUCCGCUAGUAGAAUAAAAUACAUCCCUCCAUCUCUCCUCUAGUAGAAUAAAAUACAUCCCUCUAGUAGAAUAAAAUACAUCUCUCCUCUAGUAGAAUAAAAUACAUCUCUCCUCUAGUAGAAUAAAAAUACAUCUCUCCUCUAGUAGAAUAAAAUACAUCCCUCUAGUAGAAUAAAAAUACAUCUCUCCUCUAGUAGAAUAAAAAUACAUCUCUCCUAGUAGAAUAAAAAUACAUCUCUCCUCUAGUAGAAUAAAAUACAUCUCUCCUCUAGUAGAAUAAAAAUACAUCUCUCCUCUAGUAGAAUAAAAAUACAUCUCUCCUCUAGUAGAAUAAAA
ensembl:lncRNA